UACGAAGGGUGCAAGCGUUAAUCGGAAUUACUGGGCGUAAAGGGUGCGUAGGCGGUUGUUUAAGUCUGUUGUGAAAUCCCCGGGCUCAACCUGGGAAUGGCAAUGGAUACUGGGCAGCUAGAGUGUGAUAGAGGAUGGUGGAAUUCCCGGAGUAGCGGUGAAAUGCGUAGAGAUCGGGAGGAACAUCAGUGGCGAAGGCGGCCAUCUGGAUCAACACUGACGCUGAAGCACGAAAGCGUGGGGAGCAAACAGG
rnacentral:rRNA from 1 species